GGCAGAGAAGGAAAAAGGAAGCUGAAGGGCAUUUGGGCUCAUAAUGGUCUCUCCAACUCUGAUCCUGCCCUUUAUGGACAUUUGGCAGCGCUGCUGCCUUGAGGUGCCUUGCAAUGCUGGAUCUUUUUGUUAAAGCCAUCUCUGUUGCUUCAGCCAGCUUGAGUGGGUUUCUGUUACUUGCUAGGGGUUGGGAAGGCUUCACCGACGAAGGGAAAAUGAGUCAGGUCCUGAAGGAUGAGCAAGAUACGGGAGUGGACCGCAUGGUGAGGCAGUGGACUUCCUGGUGGGGUUAAGGGCGCCUGAACACCUGGGAGGCAAGUUGAGGCCAAGACCUGGGGUGAUCGAGAGGCAGGGUAGGCUACCCAGUGAGUAGGCCAAAGGAACCACAGUAGGGCUCCAGAUCUCCUGACCCAGAGGGGCUGGGACGGGAAGGCCAGAAGACACUCAUCCCUAAGGGGAGCCUGACACUGAGGAACUCUCAUGCCCUGCGUCAGGCUCACAGGCGAAGGGCCUUCCCAGGGACUGCACCAUGGCCUGUCCCCAGCCUUACCCAGGGGCCUCUCAGGUUCUGCAGGACCCAGGGGUCACAGCUGUGUGGGGUGCUCCACUGAGCACUUCCUUCAAACUCCUUCAGAUACAAGUUCUUGCUCUGUUGCCCAGGCUAAGUGCAGUGUCGUGAUCAUAGCUCAUUGCAGCCUCAACCUACCGUGCUCAAGUGAUCCUCCCACCUUGGCCUCCAGAGUAUCUAGGACUACAGGCUGGAGUGCAGUGGCGCAAUCUCGGCUCCAUGGGAGAGAGUUUUAAAGGAUGAAGAGUUUACAUCCUCUGGAAAGAAGCAAAUAGAAGGCAUUCCAGGCAAAAGGAACUGCAUCGAGUAAAAGCAUGGAGGCAAGAAAGGGCUUGGUGUGUUUGAGAAACAGUGAGUAGGGCAUGGUGGUGGCCGAAUCUUAAAGUGUGUGGCCCAUGGACAGUGACAGCAGGACAAGAAACUGAAGUGACAGGUGAGAAAACACUGAAACCAUCUGACCUUUGAUUUCUGGCUUUACGGAGACAUGUAGAGAAAAGGUUUUGUCCCUCCCAGGCUAGAAGAAGGCAGAACUGAGUCCUAGGGAUUACCCUGAAGCAGCAUCUCCACUCAUCCACUCUGCCCCACAGCAACAUCUGUGCCAUUUCUCUCCCAGACUCCCUCAUGGUGAGGCGGGUGGUGACAGUGUGACUUCUGGAGCUAGCCACCUUGCCCAGGUCCAGGCUCCAGCUCUAACAUGCUGGGCCCCAAGGGCCGGACAGGAGAGAUUGCAGCCAAGACGGGUAGUGUCCAGACAGUGGACAGCAUGAUGUAGCCAAGCCCCAGUAACCCUCGGGUGCCCCCCACCCCUCCCUGGGCUCUGUGCCCAACCCUGAGCUCAUGCCUCUUCAUCUUGCCAGGCCUGUUCCGGCUCCGUGUUAACUGGCUGCCCAGUACCCUGCUGGUGACACCUGCCACCACCUCCAAAUGCCUUCUGUGGCUGCCCCGUAUCCUGCUUAUGCCAGUGAGGCCCUGGGACCUGUCGCUAGGCAGCCUGGGAAAGGGCAGCUUCCAGCUGUGGCUCAGAGCCUGGGGAGGGGUCAGGAGAUGCGUUCCUGUGGUUCUUCUGGUUGUCCUGUGUUAACAGGCGUAUGUCGGUGAUGGUGCCCACAUCUUUUUUUGUCUCGACUCCUAGAACAAGUUGAACCAAAGGAAUUCCAGACCUGGGAAAGUGGAGAAAGAAUUUUGGGGUCAGAGCCAUUUAAGACUUUGCCUAGGGCCUGGGUCUUCUUUCUCCUAAAGGCCCCAUCCCACAGCAUGCCACACAAACGUCACAUAACACACAAACACAUGUCGUAUUUCACAGUAAGUAGAAUUCUUUAUCAGACUAUGUUCAGGUGCAGUAUUCUAGUUGACAACAUAUUUGUGCACGGUCAAUAUUAACUUUAGCUAGGUGCAGUAGAACCUACCUGUAGCCCCAGCUUCUUGGGAGGCUGAAGGGAAGGGUCAUCUGAGCUCAAGAGUUUGAAUCCAGCCUGGGCAACAUAAUGAGACCCCCAUCUCUAACAAAAUGAAAUGAAAUAAUAAAGUGUAUGUAUAUUAA